rnacentral:rRNA from 1 species
AUGGAACUUAUCAGUAAAGCAACUGAAGAGAUUAACACCUUGGAGGCUUCUAUGGUUGCCAAACAGAAGAAGAUGUACUUGGGUAAAAAACAGAAAUUGCUGAAAUUGCUUGAAGAAACGCACAUGGUACCUGCUGACAUUAAAUUUGAUCCCAAGAAAAAAGUAGAAUCUGAUUUCCCCAAAGCAAUAACAGAUUUGAAGAUUUUGAUUAAACAAGUUAAAGUACAAAUUCCUCAAAGAAAAGAUAUUGUCAUGCGAAUUGAACUACUCCAGCAUGCAGUGAAUAAUUCACUCUCUGUGAAAACAUCUGAAAGGCUACUUCGCUCUUUGAAGAAUUUGGUCCUCCUCGAAGACACAUUUCUAUUUGAUGGCAAGGAUGUGAAGGUUGUUAUAAAUGCAAUCGAAGAUGAAAUGAAACCAGCUUCAACAAAGCCUGCGCUUCCAGUAAAGAAGAGGAUGAGUGCUCGGCUGACUGAGUUGAGGGACAAGGAGCAGUCCAGUCCUGACCUGCCUCCCCCUCCCUAUCCUUCACGAGUUCGCGAUGGGAAUAGGGAACGCAGGAAGGGGGUAUGGGGCAAGGAAUCCAAGAGGUGA